rnacentral:tRNA from 1 species
GGGCCGAUAGUUUAGUCUGGACAGAAUACGGGGCUUCGGACCCCGGGACGGGGGUUCAAAUCCCUCUCGGCCCG